GACGAACCGUGCGAACGUUGUUCGGAAUCACUGGGCUUAAAGGCGCGUAGGCGGGCUGCCAAGUCUGGGGUGAAAUCCCACGGCUCAACCGUGGAACUGCCUCGGAUACUGGCGGCCUCGAGGGAGGUAGGGGCGUGCGGAACUGUGGGUGGAGCGGUGAAAUGCGUUGAUAUCCACAGGAACUCCGGUGGCGAAAGCGGCGCGCUGGACCUCUUCUGACGCUGAGGCGCGAAAGGCUAGGGGAGCAAACGGGAUUAG
rnacentral:rRNA from 1 species